rnacentral:rRNA from 1 species
UACAGAGGUCCCAAGCGUUGUUCGGAUUCAUUGGGCGUAAAGGGUGCGUAGGCGGCGCGGUAAGUCGGGUGUGAAAUCUCGGAGCUUAACUCCGAAACUGCAUUCGAUACUGCCGUGCUUGAGGACUGGAGAGGAGACUGGAAUUUACGGUGUAGCGGUGAAAUGCGUAGAUAUCGUAAGGAAGACCAGUGGCGAAGGCGGCAUCCUGGACCGGCAUUGACGCUGAGGAGCGAAAGCCAGGGGAGCAAACGGG